UAUAGCUUAGUGGUAGAGUGCAUGCUUAGCAUGCACAAGGUCCUGGGUUCAAUCCCCAGUA
rnacentral:tRNA from 1 species